GGCAGCGGCGGAGCGGCCGCCGCCAUUUCCCGGCCCAAGAGCUCCACCAUUUGGCGGCCGCGCACACUGCGGCCCUGAGCUCAUGAGGCAGCGACCGGUCGGGAAAUACAGGCGGGUAGAGGAGCGGAAGGACGGCGAAGACUGCUGGGCUCGGUCCAGAAGGCUGUUGGGAUUUCAGCCAGCUUCCUACAGAAUCUCCUCCCAAUAUCCAUCAGCCCAUCUCCCUGGCUGAAAGCUGGCACCAUGUCUUGGCCUUGCUGUCUUCAUGCCCACCAGCCUUUGCUGCCAGGCACAAACACACUGAACCUACAUUCCAGCCUUCCCAUGGCAGGAUAUGGCCAACCGUCCCAUGUUGCCAUUCAGCUGCAGAACUGCGCAGAGCCUGGAAGAUGCCUCUGAGAUGUCUUCUGCCCAGCCAAUGCAGGUUCAUGAAGAAACACCUUCUUAUAUACAAACAUCUUCUGCAGUUCUUUAUCUGCUCUUCUUCGUUCACGUUGCAGUGCUUUUUACCUCCUCUACUACAAGAAAGACAUUGAGGCCCUGGAAUGUGUCCAGAGAAAGGCAACGAAACUGGUGAGGGGUCUGGAGCAUAGAUCUUAUGAGGAGCAGCUGAGGGAACUGGGAUUUCUUAGUCUGGAGAAGAGAAGGCUCAGAGGAGAACUUAUUACACUCUACAACUUCCUGAAGGGAAGUUGUGAUGAGGAGCGUUUCAGCCUCUUCUCCCAGGCAACAAACAGGACCCAAGGAAAUGGCCACAAGUUGUACCAGAGGAGAUUUAGAUUAGACAUAAGGAAAAACUUUUUCUCUCAGAGAGUGGUCAGGCGCUGGAAUGGCCUGCCCAGGGAGGUGGUGGAGUCGCCAUCCCUGGCAGAGUUCAAGAGGCGUCUGGAUGAGGAGCUACGAGAUAUGGUUUAGUAGCUUGUGGUAGCAAGGGUAAUGGGAGGACGAUUGGACUAGAUGAUCUAUAGGUCCUUUCCAACCUUGUGAUUCUAUGAUUCACUGGUGCCAUGAGGAGUUACCAGCUUCAUUUCUGCUAAUAAACAAACAAAACAUCACUUUCCCCUAAACAACGCUCCGAAGAGAUGCUUUUGUUAUUCCUUUAGCAGACAUUGUAGGGAAGACUGAAGAUAAAUGUAUUGAUAUCUUUGGAUAAAAUCUGAUUAAUCUUCCCAUGUACUCCUUUUCACUUGAGUAGGGGAGAAGUUUUUUUUGUCAAAUAACCUAUUACCAGCAUCAGUUUAAGACAGAUGUUUAAAUACUGGAGACAUUUCAGAGACAAGCUGCAAAAAUGAUCAAAUUUAGGAAAGAGCAUCUCCCAGUGAGAGACUCAAGGAGUCCAAAUCUAUCCAGUUUAAAAGUGCUUAAGCAGCACCAAGUCCCAAAAUGUGAAAAGAAAGGUAAGAAUCAGUAGAGGACAAAACAUACAGACAUAGCGUGUCCAAAAUGUUAUCUGUGGAACAAAAAGAGUUUGUUCACGUGCACUUGGGGAUGCCUCACACUUACUGGGUGCACGAAGAACUGUACAGUGUGUGUACAGACAGUUCCUGGGACAUUGCACUGGGCAGGCUGAUGCAGAACAAGAAGGCAUUACAAGAAAACCAGGCAUUCACUGAAAGCACCAGGCUUACAGUGUGGUGCACACAGCUACCAACUGUGCAUAUGUGCCACAAUUGUCCUGAGCUUUUUCAGGCAUACAGAAAGAAAACUGGCCAGAGCUGCUGUACAACUCAGGUUAUGCAGUUAUCUGAAGGGCCAGCAGCAUAGAUCUGCGAUGUGUAAGGAGCUACAACUGAGAAGACAGUUCUAUAUGGAGUCAUCCAAAGAAAAGGGGCUUUUUUUUUCCAAGAACUGUUCUCUGAUGUUACACAGCUAGCACUGGUUGGUGGAACAAACCAGUAUCUGUCAGUACCACCAAACUUCUGCCUUAAGUCUGCAGCUAUGGUUCCCUUCAGUGAUAUUUCUCUUCAGGGUGUGAGAUUUCCCUCUGACAUCUGGAAGAUGAGCAUUCACAAUUGCUGUUGAUAAAUCAGUUGUUCUGACAGUAGCACGCAUCAUGCAGGAGUGAUACCUCCUUUUGUAGUGUAUCUCGAAAUAGCACAUACCCAUGUGGGCUGCUGGUAGGAUUCAUGCACCCAACAUAUUGGGUUUAUUCACACACAAAAAAAUACUUCACUGUUGUUUGCCAGUUACAGUGAAGUCCAUACAUACAGUAAGACUGGUUUAUCAUUCUUCACAGGGAAAAGCAGUUUGUUUUCUGCUUCUCUCUGUUGCCAGUCCUUUUAAUAAUUACUUUACUAGAAGAGAAAAAUGGCUGACCUUUGCACUAGGAGCUUGUACUAAUGGAAAAAUAAAGAAAUUUGAGGUUGAGGCUGAUAGAUUCAUUUAGCCUGUUGUGGGUGAGCAAGAUGUGUAGAAGGAAGAUGUCCCCUCUGUGAAAGGCUGUAAUUGAUGGGGGUGUUCCACAACAGAAGACCUUAUGCCUUCAUUGCCAACAGAGCUGUCACGCUCUCUGUGGUGUCCUCUUCCAUCAGACAGAUACCUGUUGGAUUAACUCAUCCUGCUCUGAGCAGCCUGUGAUGAAAACACAGCACAAGAUUAUCAUCCUUGCCUGAAUGUGAAGGUACUCUCAAUGGUUCCGCAGCCUCUCCCAGGCCUGAAGAUGUGUGACCACUACACCAACAUAAACAAGCGUUCAGUCUCUUCAGUGAUUGCUGACAGUGAACUGCAAUUCUUUACCUGAAAUUUAUCGAGGAAUGGCAGAUGGACACUGCUUUUACAACUUUCUGGCAUGACCAAUUUCUGAGUGUUUUUACAUUCAGAUGAAGAAUUCAGCUGCUUUGUUCUUUGAUGCCAAUUACUCUGCCCCAAGUUAAAUGGCACUAGGUGAAGACUGUUGAGAUCCAGCUAUCUGUUUGUGCUACCUAUCUGUAAGCACUCUGGAAAUCACAUGGAAGCAAGGAGACAGCUAGAAAUACCAAGAAUUAUGAAACUCGUUGAAUUUGGUACAACAACAACAAAAAAACAAACAACAAAUUCUGUCCAUCCAAUCAUUGGAUUUUUGUGUGUAAAAAAAAAUAUCAGCCUCUGAAGAAAAAAGUUUGAAACCAAAAGUUGUUCAUUCUGUGGCUUACAAUUAAAAGUUGCAUUAUAUAAAGACUGGCUAACAAAAUAUACUGAAAAAAGCCCAAAUGUCUGUUGUAAAACUUUUCAUUGUGUUUUUAUUGCAAAAUACGAUGCAGUUGAUACUCUUCUAUCAGGAAAUAACACUAACAGCAGUACUGAGUGAACAGCAUCAUGCCUGCGUAAGAUAUAUUUGGAGGUACAUGGAAGAACACAAGAUACCACAGAUCACUUGGCCUGAAGCUUUCACAAGGGAAAAAAAAACCUGCAGGUUUCGUCUGUGGUCUCUAGUAUAUUUAGCCAGUUCCUGUACAGUACUUGACCAAGAACUGAAAAUACGGUGUAUGCAUGUGUGUGCAUGAAUAUAUUUGAAAAACCUUUUCCUGAUACCCAGAGGAGGAUUGGGUUGAAUAUCAGGAGAAGGUUCUUCUCCAGUAUGUGUUGGGGAACUGGAACAGGCUCUCCAGGGCAGUGGUUACAGCCGCACGCUUGCUGGAGUUGAAGAAGCAUUUGGGCAAAGCUCUCAGCCAUAUGGCCUGAUUUUUGAGUUGUCCUGUGUGGAGCCAGUUGGACUCAGUGAUUCUCAUGGGUCUCUUCCAACUCAGGAUGUUCUGUGAUUCUAUGAUUCUAGGAACUAUAACUGUAUAAUAUACUUUUAUAUAUGUGAUGAAGUUGUAAAGCUUCUGCUUAAGUGGGAUGCUAUCAAGUCAUAAUUUUUGCAUCCUGAAAAACAAACCAAUGGCUAGGAAUUUAGUAUUCAUCACUACGGCAAGUGUUAAGCCAGCAGUGUUUCCCCCAUGCAUUCUGUGGCUUCUUUCAUGGCUUGCUUUGGGAAUAGCAGUAUGGAAGAUUCUCUUCAUUGUAUCAGAUGGCAGAAGGCAGAAAACUGAUGGCAAAAAAGAGGAAAAGUUACAGAAACAAAUUUUUCCCCCAUUCUCUGAAGAAUCCUGGCAAGCAGUUAAAAAAUGAGAGGGGGGAAUUAUUUACAGUGAAGGUGGCUGUCUUCUGAGAAAUGCCUUUUUUAAGUUAUUGUAAUUUGCUGACUUAACAAAUGCUUCAUGUGGAAACAGGCUCACUGAUACUACUGAUACAGAACUUUAGACUUUUAGGGCAGUUGAGCCCUGAAUUACAUCUCUGCUCAGCUCCUGUCAUGUUUUGCUUCUUCUCUCCGAUGCUGACUGUGACCAUUUCCAGAGUCUCUAGCCACUGGCAUGCCUCCUGUGCAGUUCAUUAUUUUAACUUCUUAGCCAGAGAUGUAAAGCCCACCACUUCUGGAGCAAUGGCCAUUCAAACAAACCACUACACAACUGUCUAGGCUGAUUUCUACAACUUAUGCCCCAAAUCUCAGACAGUGACUUCGGCAUUAAUUUCAUUUUCUGUCUAGAAAGAUGCCUAUUUUUGCUAAAAACUUCUAGCCAGAGACAUAUGAUUACCUGAAAGGAAGCCUUUGAACGUUUAAUUAUUUCCUUUUCACUAGUCAUUUCCAAAUCUCCAAAACUCUGGGAAAACAGCCUGAGCAAGCCAGUAUCAGCACACUACAAGAUAGGAGCUGAUAAUAGAGAGCUCCUGCUAAGAGGUUAAGUGGAUACCUGGUGCCAUCUUUUUAUACCUUACAUAACCGACAUAAAAAAUCAAUUACCUUCUGGCAAAAGCCAAUAAGAAAGUGUUAAAAUCUGAGUACAAGAACAGUAUAGAAAAAGGCAUUCAAAGUAAUUACUACUACUUGAUAGAAUUUUAAUUUUCACAUUAAAUUAAUACAUUCUGUUUUGCCAUCCUUUAUUGUCUUUCAUCAUGGCUUACUGCUGCAAAACAUUUGCAUUUAAAUGUUACCCUAGUGAAAAAUGUUCUGUUCAAAGAAUUGUCUUUUUAAUGGUGAAUUUAAGAAAAGCUGUAGCAAAGUUAAGUACAAUCAACCAUAUUAAUUAACCACUCAAUUCUCCAAUGCCUAGGAAUCAUUCAGAGCAUGAGUAAGAACAGUUAAAUGAUACUCAGCUCAUCCAAGAGCCUAAAUUUAACUACUGUAUCAUGUUAAUGAGAGAUAUAAUGCGCUGUGUCCGCAAACAGAUGGUGUUAGCCCACAUUAAUAAACUCAGUGGAGAACUUAAUAUGCUUAGAUUUAGAUGGGUUAUUCCACAGGAUGACACAGCUGAUGACGCAUCCUGAAGCAACAUAUCUGUAUUUGGCAGUUCUUUAUCGUCUUACUCUGUGCUUCUGGCUAUGCCGUCUGCUCUCCCUGCACCCUGCCUGGCCUCUGGGUUACCCUGACCAGCACAUAAACAUGUGCAGCCCUUUGUUGGUCUUAUUUGUGGAAGCCAAAUUGUUGCACAGCCAUAUGUAAUAUUUUUACUUGCUUGAUCCCUGGAUUUCACUGACCCCAGGGAAGACCUGUGCAUCCAUCUGUGUUUGGAGAGAGGUCAGUGUAUCCCCAUUCUGUAUACAUAUAUACCUCCCCAUUCUCUUUAUAUAUAUACACAUGACAUAUAUUCGCCUUCUUUUUCUCUCGCUCCAACUUACGUACUUGCUUUGCCUCCCUCUUCUCCCAGCAGAGUGGGGCUAGGUACACAAGUAAGAAAGAUGUGGUUGCCUGAUUCUGCCUUGCCCUGUCUCAUUUGAGGGCUGCAGCUGCCAGGGCAGGGGCAUGAGCUGGGCAUAAAGCCACUGUUGCUACUAUGAGUCCCAUAUGGUCUCAUUUUUACUACAGGCUGUGCUUUUGCCUCCCGUAAUACUGUGCCUCUGAAGGCAACAGAUUGGGUCUGGACGUUCUUGCCCAGGGAUCUCUUGGCAGCUCAUCCUGUUUGCAUUUCCAAAACCAUAAAAUGUUUGUAUGUUAUGUUUUGCCUAUUUAACCACUGCUACUGUCUUGCAGUAAAUAAAUAUUUAAAACAUAUUAAAUAAUAGACUUUACUACCUCAGAAAAAUUAAGUGAAGCAUUUCAUGUGAUUGUUCAAAGUGGUAUUUGAUGUGAUUGGAUCACGGUAAUAAAUUUACCUACGCUGCUUCUAGUGAAUUCAUUUAUAUGAAUUUGAUGCACCUUACCAGAAACAUCCAAAAUUAUUUUUCCCACUAUUUCAUUAUUCAAAUAAUGCACAAAGCUUCCUAAAAUAAAUCUUUUCGAUACCGCUUCACUUAUCUCCUGAAUAAUGCCAACCUAGUGCUUUCUAAAUAAAGGUUGCCUAAUACAAAGCCUCUGUAAAUACAUACUGCAACUUAGAAAUGAGAAAUCAGAGGAAGUAUGUGGAAAAAAAACAUGUGUAAACUAAAAGUUCAAACGUGCUGGAAUUCAAAACAUAUUUUCAUAAGAUAUUUUCGUAUUUGCACAAUGGCAUAAGUGUAAAGUCUGCAGAAAGCUUAAGAUGUUCUUAUGCAAUUUAUAUAAUAUGACCUGGAAUAUGGAAAAUGUUGACUUGGUACUUAGUAUUCGGACUUGCAGAAAUUACCACAAUAAUAUUACGGAGCUUUUGCUGCUGUAUAGUUGGGCAUAGGUUUUCAGUACGAACUGAGGAAAAUUGCUUCUUUCAAGAAUAGAAUUUGAUGAGCAUGCAUAUUCUACGUGCUAACAACACACAUACCAGAAAAGAUACAGAAAAUAAUUUCAGGAUUUCAUUCCCUACCUUGCAAGAUUGUCUUCUGUUAGUGACAGAGACUGUUUUCUUUGGUUAUAACUGCUCUUUCCUGUUAGGACUAGAAACAUACUGUGAGAGUUUCAGCUGAGAUAUUCAGAGAAAGAAGAGGGAGAAGUAUGAAGGUGAAAAAGUAAUGAACAUAGAUGUAGAAGUCUACAAGUACAGUUCAGCAAUGAAAAUAUUUGCUGCUUUAAUUUGUACCCGGUACACAUUAUUUGCACUAUAUUUUCACCUUCAUAUACCAUGCGUGUGUGGCCAUCUACAUACAUUGCUCCAAAAAUGAUGCUUCCUAUAUAUUUCUAUGGACUCUACAACUGAUACAAAGAGCACAAUAACACUAUUAUAUGAUAAAGCAAAUUCUCAGUUACAAAACAUGAUUUUUCAACGUAGUCAACACCAUUAAAUACGUAUUUUCACCAGUGAUGAACAAGAGCCUCCACUCUGUGCUCAAAAAAAUCUGCACCAUUAGAGGUGACCCACUGCUUCACAGCUGCUAUAAUGGCAUUAUUGUUAGGAAAAUGUUGCCCACACAGUUUAUUUUUCAUCAGCUCAAACAGAUGGAUGUCAGAAGGUGCCAAAUCCAGACUAUGCAAAGGGUGUGGAAGAACAGACCAGCCAAGACUGGCAAUGUACAGAUUUUCAAACUGGUAGGGAGCCUGAGCUUAUUGUGUUGCAAGAGAAAGGCUGUAUUCUUCUUCAAACUGACUGGAAAUUUAGGCCUUCAGCUUAAUCAGUGUUGCAAUGUAGUGAUCAGUCGAUGGUUUGUCUGGGUUCCAGAAAAUACAGUAGGAUCACUAGUUUUUUAUCCCAACAGGCAGUGCACAUCAUUUUAUCCACUGAGGGCUGCAUCUGGAACUUUUUCUGUAAUGGGGAAUUCAUAUGUUGUUACUUUAUGGACUGCCGUUUUGAGAUGAGACACCACAGCUCAUCACUGGCAAUGAUGAGAUCCGGGAAACUGUCAUCUUCAGCCUCAUAUCAGUUCAAUAGGUCCUGAGGAACUUGCAUACUGUGUUCCCUCUUUUCCUGCGUGAGCAUUUGUGGAACCCAUGUAGCACAAACUCUGUGAUAUUCCACCAUUGCCACCAUCGUUUCCAGUGCACUGAAGCUGUUAUUCCCUGGUCACAAUCCACUGAUUCUCACAGAUGAGCUGAUUGAGACACUCCUCAUUUCAUGGUGUGACAGCUGUGUACGGCUGUCCAGAACUUCCUUGACUUUCACAUCACUGCUGCCACUACUGAAAUGCAGCACUUAAAUGAACUGCUUGUUUAUUGAAUUUAAUGAAAUACAGUCUAAGAACCAGAGGGAGGAAUAAAAUAAGAUGUGGAUGCUCUUGAGUAAUUAUGGCAUCUCCUUCUCAGUCUCUCACAGACUUCAUCCCUGGAUGGCCUAAUCAUCAUCCAGUGCAAUACCAGUUGCAUUUGCCACACCCUGUUCUUUCAGUCUUCUUUUUGUUUCUAAAUGAAACUCAUGAAGUUUUAUUGACCAAACCAUUUAUUGAACGCCAAUGUUUCCUCCUCUGUAUGAACAGCGUAUUGAAGUCCAGGCUAAGACAUGCUGUGAACACACAAUGGAAAGUAAUCAAGUGAGAUGCAGAUCUCACACCCCAGAGCAAUUUGCAUCACAGUCUUGGACUUUUGAAAAUGUUGAACAAGGCUACAGUUGCCCCAACUUUCUUUCCAUUAACUGGUGAAGGAUGGAAUCAGCAGAAAGUGUUCCCUGGGCUCAGUCACCUUCUUAACAGUGUCUCCUGUGGCAUACAGGAGCAGGAUUUAUCAUAGCAUCAUGGAACCAUAGAAUAUCUUGAGUUGGAAGAGACACACAAGCAUUACUGAGUCCAGUUCCAGGCUCCAUAUAGACUUGCCAAAAUUUCAAAUCCUAUGUCUGAGAGUGUUCUUCAAACAUUUCUUGAGCUCUGGUAGGCUUGGUGCCCUGGGGAGCCUAUUCCAGAAAGCCUGACCACUUUCUCAGUGAAGAAAGUUUUCCUAACAUGCAAUCUGACUGUCCCCUGACACAGAUCCAUGUGUUCUCUUGCAGUCAUCAGAGAUCAGCGCCUGCCUCUCUGUCUCUGUCUCCUACUCUCUGGGCUGAGCCAACCAUGUGACCUCAAUGACUCCUAAUACCUCUUGCCCUUUAGACCCUUCACCAUCUUUGUAGCCCUUCUUUGAAGACUCUCAAAUAGUUUUAAAUCCCUCUUAUAUCAUAGCGCCCAAAACUGCACACAGUGCUCAAAGUUGAGGUUGCACCAGCACAAAGCAGAGUGAGACAGUCCCUUCCCUCACCCUGCUGGCAGUGCCAGGCCUGAUGCACCCCAGGGUACCAUUGGCCCUUUUGGCUGACAGGGCACACUUCUGAUUCAGAUUCAACUUUCUUCAACCCCCAGAUCCCUUCCUGCAGGACUGCUCUCCAGCCUCUCAUUCACCAGUCUGUACAUACACCCAGGGUUGCCCCAUUCCAGGUGCAGAAUCUGGCACUUACUCUUGUUAAAAUUCAUGUGGUUGGUAGUUGUCCAGGCCUCUAAUUUUUCAAGAUCUCAAGACGUAUGCACUGAAUGUGGACUGCUUAGUGCCUGGAAAAGGCUCUGUGGCACUUAGUGUGUCUGCCUCUGCUUCAGCUCUCAGAAGACUUCAUCUCAUGGGAACCGAUGAGUUUGUUCUCAAUCACUGAAACCAACACUGGGAAUCUUGAGAUGGAGAACACAUGUCAAAAUCUGCCACUAGGUCCUGCAUUCUUCAUUGAUUCAAGAAAGCCAGGUGGAUUCUACACUGCCUCACAGAUCAGAAGAAAAACAUGAGCACAUUAUCGUUACAAAAUCUGUAUUACUGCUAGUAAUGACACAUUAAUAUAUUUGAUUUUUCUUUUCACAGAAUACAUCGGUUUUCAAAUAUAUUUUGAAUCUCCCUUUAGAUUUAAAGUUGAAUAUAUUUGCAUGAGGAAUCAUGAGGUAAAAAUAAGAAAAAAAAACUGUAAAGAAAAACAAACUGAAUAUGUGAAAUCAACUGUAAAAACGUUUCGAGGGUGGAGGUGUAAUAGAAGAGUGCUUGAAUAUUUAUCAGCUGAUUUUACCAAAUGGCCAUUAAAGUCAAGGACCAUCUUAAGAAUCAAAGCAAGGACUUUUUCUGGGAGUGAAAUUAUAUUAUUAUUUUUAAAUAAAGUUUAGUGGUGAUCAACAUA